AUCCUUAUAGUAUAAAAGUACAUUUGACUUCCAAUCAAAAAGUUUGACAAAUCAAGAAGGAUA
rnacentral:tRNA from 1 species